rnacentral:rRNA from 1 species
UACAGAGGUCUCGAGCGUUGUUCGGAUUCAUUGGGCGUAAAGGGUGCGUAGGUGGCGCUGUAAGUCGGGUGUGAAAUCCUGAGGCUUAACCUCGGAACUGCAUUCGAUACUGCGGCGCUUGAGGACUGGAGAGGAGACUGGAAUUCAUGGUGUAGCAGUGAAAUGCGUAGAGAUCAUGAGGAAGACCAGUGGCGAAGGCGGGUCUCUGGGCAACAACUGACGCUGAGGAGCGAAAGCGUGGGGAGCGAACAGG